UUGGCAAACAAGUGCAAGCUGGAGUUUGACCUACAUUCUGGCAAAUUGCAUUAGGUCCACAUGGUGAUGGCGAACACGGAUCUCUUUGCACUGAACACGGAAGCAAGCAGUGAAAGGAUCUCCAGUAUAUCCAUUGUUGCAGAAACAAAUAGGACUGUGAUUAAUAAUCUUACAAUUGGCAUUCACGCCACAUGAAUUGGGACACGGAUCUACGCAUUUCUGGUUAACGCAGGCUCGUGUCAGAGAACACUCAGUGCUAACUACGCAUUCUGGUCUGCAAUUAGGUGGGCUGCCAAGAAUAUAACAGGAGAAUGAUGAAUGAGAUUUGAAAAAUGAAAUUAUCAAAUGAUGUAGAUUUUUGAACAUUAAAGUAUUUGAAAAUAUAUAGUAUUCAAAUGGCAUAGAAGAUGCAUUUUUAAAAAUUUCAUAGAACUAACUAAUAUAUUCUACAUGAUAUUUGAUGAAAUUCAAUGAAAAUAUCCCGUUCUUCGAUUUUUCUUUAAUAUCUACAUCUACAUCUACAUUUGAAUUUCUCAAAAAAUAAAUAUAAU